rnacentral:tRNA from 2 species
GGCAACGUGGCGGAGUGGUUAUCGCGCUAGCCUAGAAUUAAUCUUUAAAGCUAGUUCCUUCGGGAGCGUCAGUUCGAGUCUGGCCGUUGUCG